UUACGUGUUCCGGAGGAGCAGGAGACCGCCAUCACACCAUGACCAGUUAGGGCUUGGGUUUUUAAUAUCCGAAGUUCCAUCCCUCGUGCGAGCGAGGGAGGAAGAGAGACGGAAUCGCUGCCGUCCCUCGCGAUUAGGGUUUAAGCCUGAGUGUUGCUAUUCCAGUGUUGGUCUUGUUGGUUGCUUUGUUGAAUGGCUAGGGAAACAAGCCCGGAUAUAGAUGAUGAACUUUUUAAUGAAGUUUAUGGAAAGGAAUACACUGGUCCACCUCGGCCCACUUUUGGCAGUACAACAGUAAAAGCUCAGAAUAAAAGAUCGUCAGUUGAACUGCAAUCGGAUGAGGAUGAUGGGCCUAGAGAUCCAAAUGCUGUUCCAACGGAUUUUACUAGCCGAGAGGCUAAGGUAUGGGAGGCGAAAGCAAAGGCUACUGAACGGAACUGGAAGAAAAGAAAAGAGGAAGAAAUGAUUUGCAAAAUAUGUGGAGAAUCGGGUCACUUUACGCAGGGAUGCCCAAGUACACUUGGAGCAAACCGCAAGUCUGCAGAUUUUUUUGAGAGAGUGCCAGCAAGAGACAAGAAUGUAAGAGCACUUUUCUCCGAGAAGGUUAUCAGUCAGAUUGAGAAGGAUGUCGGAUGCAAAAUAAGAAUGGAUGAGAAAUUCCUCUUUGUCAGUGGGAGGGAUAGGCUAAUACUUGCGAAAGGUGUGGAUGCUGUGCACAAAGUGAUUCAGGAGGGGGAUAAGGAUAAAAGGAAAGGCUCUGCUAGUUCUCACAGGUCUAGAUCUAAGUCUCCAGAUGGAAACUCGGGGGGUCCUUAUUUAAGACAUGCUGAAUCCUUGAGGUCUUAUAAUAGUCCGAGAGAUACGUCAGGUUUCCAGAGUAGGAAUUUUAAUCAUGAUAGGAUUGUUGAAGACCCUAUACGCCAAGAUCAACAAAAGUUCAAGGGUUCACCGCAUGCAAGAGCUUACACUAAUGAAGGAGGAAAAGGACAACCAGCUCGUUCAAAAUCUCCACCACGCCCUGGUUUUGGUGGUGGUUCAUUCGGUUCAUAUGACGACCACAAUCGUAACAGUGGGAUGCAUGCUGCUGAUAACUGGGGCAUUGAGCGUCGGGGAGCAGAGUUCCAUUCUGAACGCAAGUUUGACUAUCCUGUUUACCCGCAAACAUUGGAAGAGCUUGAAAUGGAAUUUAAGAGGGAGGCUAUAGAAUUUGGCAGAAUUCGUGAUAAAGAAGAGGAUGAAGAGAACAACAAGCAUCGUGAGUGCAUGAGAGAACUAAAAGAGAGUUACAUGAAAAAAUUGGGUAUUAUGAGAGGCAUGCAUGCAAAGCAAUGGGAAGAAUUUCUUCAAAGAGAUUCACAGAGGCGGCAACAAGGACGGCACAAUGCUUACAAUCAACCGAGUUAUUCUGAGCACGAUCAGUCUGUCAGGAAUGUUCCGUAUAUGGGUGCUAAUUUGCCUGUGGACUCAAGGAACAGAUACCCAUAUCCUGGUGACAAUUAUUCAGCUUCCAGGUCCCAUGAUGCAUACCAUGAUUUUCAUCAUCAGAGACAUGGUGACUAUGCGAAGGAUUAUGGGCGAUACUGACUGAAGAUAGAAUCAAGGUGAGUUGACCUGUUCUAUGAAAAGUUGCUUCCAGUAGAAUAUCAAAUACUUUGAUCUAUUAUUCCCUUUACAUUUUACAAGCUGGAGCUUGACAUGAAAAUGGCAAAAGUUCAUGAUCAGAAGCCAUCGGAUUCAAAGUAGGGUGUGGUUCAAGAGUUAGCAGGGGGCCUGGGUGUUUGCUUAGUAUUUAUUGCCUCUCACUCUCCACUAUGGAAAUUUUGGUUAUCAAAGUUUGAAGAAGAUGCCGGUAAAGUUUCAGCCCGUUUAGGUGCAAGGUUUCUGUGUAGGCUGCCGUCAUGUACUCCGUGGUAAGGGUGGCGUAGACAAAGUGUUUCUCUCUUUUGACUAUUCAGGGCGAACAUUACCUGAUGACAUUGAGUUUGGUUCAUUAGAAAAUUCAAAUCACCAUGGCAUUUCUCCGGGUUGUCUGCAAUGGUUGAUGCUAUUAUUUUCAAAUAUCUAUUGCCAAAUCUGAAAUGCUCUUAUCUUGUGACUGCUCACUAAUACCAUUGAAGUAUUUCUCUAGUAAAUAAGUUUAU